rnacentral:rRNA from 1 species
UACUCGAGUGGCGAACGGGUGAGUAACACGUGGGUGAUCUGCCCUGCACUUCGGGAUAAGCCUGGGAAACUGGGUCUAAUACCGGAUAGGAGCCAUUUUUAGUGUGAUGGUUGGAAAGUUUUUUCGGUGUAGGAUGAGCUCGCGGCCUAUCAGCUUGUUGGUGGGGUAAUGGCCUACCAAGGCGGCGACGGGUAGCCGGCCUGAGAGGGUGACCGGCCACAUUGGGACUGAGAUACGGCCCAG